CCUACGGGCGGCUGCAGUGAGGAAUAUUGGUCAAUGGUCGGGAGACUGAACCAGCCAAGCCGCGUGAGGGAUGAAGGUACAGAGUAUCGUAAACCUCUUUUGUCAGGGAACAAAGGCGGGGACGCGUCCCCGGAUGAGUGUACCUGAAGAAAAAGCAUCGGCUAACUCCGUGCCAGCAGCCGCGGUAAUACGGAGGAUGCGAGCGUUAUCCGGAUUUAUUGGGUUUAAGGGGUGCGCAGGCGGUCUGUUAAGUCGGCGGUCAAAGCCCGGGGCUCAACCCCGGCCCGCCGUUGAAACUGGCAGUCUCUAGGUGGAGAGAAGUAUGCGGAAUGCGCGGUGUAGCGGGGAAAUGCAUAGGUAUCGCGCAGAACUCCGAUUGCGAAGGCAGCAUGCCGGCUCCACACUGACGCUGAGGCACGAAAGCGUGGGUAUCGAACAGGAUUAGAUACCCUUGUAGUC
rnacentral:rRNA from 1 species